rnacentral:rRNA from 1 species
UUUUAGUCCAACCUAAAGUGAUANNUUACUNUCAACUAAUUAACUNNNNCAACUACUUUAGAGCAAUUCAAAUGAGGUACAGCCCAUUUGAUACAGGAUACAACCUUCACUUACGGGUNNAAACCCAACUCACACCUUAAAGUAGGCCUAAGAGCAGCCACCUUUUAAAAAGCGUCAAAGCUUAANNNCCCUGAGCNGUAUUAAUUCAAAAACCUACACUAACCCCUUCAAUUAUAUUGAGAACUUCUAUAACCCUAUAGAACCUUUUAUGCUGAAACUAGUAACAAGAGAAAACCNNNCUCUCAUAAUGCAAACAUAAGCCAGCAAGAACCUAUCACUGGCAAUUAACAANCCCCCCAAACAAGUAGCAACCUCACUAGAAAACCCUACUUACACCAACUGUUAACCUAACACCAGAGCAUUUCAAGAAAGAUUAAAAGAAAAAGAAGGAACUCGGCAAAUCCAAGUCCCGCCUGUUUACCAAAAACAUCGCCUCUUGCCUCCCCAUAAGAGGUCCAACCUGCCCAGUGACCCUGUUCAACGGCCGCGGUAUCCUAACCGUGCGAAGGUAGCGUAAUCACUUGUUUUCUAAAUAAAGACCUGUAUGAAGGGUAUAACGAGGACUAAACUGUCUCCUUUUUCCAAUCAGUGAACCUAAUCUCCCCGUGAAAAAGCGGGGAUUCCCUUAUAAGACGAGAAGACCCUGUGGAGCUUAAAACAUUAUAACACCUGCCACCACCCCUUNACUACACCNAGUAUUACCCAACCAGCAUCUUGAUUUUAUGUUUUUGGUUGGGGUGACCGCGGAGAAAACCCCAUCCUCCGCGAUGAAAGUGGGNNCCUCCCCCUUAGCAACAAGUUACAACUUUAUGCAUCAAUAAAUUGACAUCCAUUGACCCAAUAAAUUGAUUAACGAACCAAGUUACCCCAGGGAUAACAGCGCAAUCCACNUUUGAGAGCCCCUAUCGACAAGUGGGCUUACGACCUCGAUGUUGGAUCGGGAUAUCCUNAGUGGUGCAGCCGCUACUAANGGGUUCGUUUGUUCAACGAUUGAAAUCCCACGUGAUCUGAGUUCAGACCGGAGCAAUCCAGGUCAGUUUCUAUCUAUAAAGCGCUAAUUUCAGUACGAAAGGACCAAAAUAGCACAGCCAAUGCCCCCUCCGUAAGCUGUACUUAAUCAUUUUUAACCCAAACUCAAAAAAUAAUCAACCUUCCCCCCUCCCCCUAGAAAAGGAGC